UUCCGGUUGAUCCUGCCGGACCCUACUGCUGUCGGGGUGGGACUAAGACAUGCAAGUUGAGCGUCUCUAGGCUAUGGUAGAGACGCGGCAUACGGCUCAGUAGCACGUGGCCAACCUAUCCUUAGGACGGGGACAACCCCGGGAAACUGGGACUAAUAUUCGAUAGAUUAGGAGGCCUGGAAUGGUUCUUAGUCGAAAGGGCUUUGAAACCAUGCUUUUCAACGUCGCCUAAGGAUGGGGCCGCGCCCGAUCAGGCUGUUGGUGGGGUAAUGGCUCACCAAACCUAUAACCGGUGCGGGCCGUGAGAGCGGGAGCCCGGAGAUGGGCACUGAGACAAGGGCCCAGGCCCUACGGGGCGCAGCAGUCGCGAAAACUCCGCAAUGCGCGAAAGCGUGACGGGGCUACCCCGAGUGCCGUCCGCUGAGGAUGGCUUUUCCCCGGUGUAAUGAGCCGGGGGAAUAAGGAGAGGGCAAGUCUGGUGUCAGCCGCCGCGGUAAUACCAGCUCUCCGAGUGGUAGGGACGAUUAUUGGGCUUAAAGCGUCCGUAGCCGGCUUAGCAAGUCUCCUGUUAAAUUCAGCGACCUAAUCGUUGAGCCGCGGGAGAUACUACUAGGCUAGGAGGCGGGAGAGGCCGACGGUAUUCUCGGGGUAGGGGCGAAAUCCUAUAAUCCCGGGAGGACCACCAGUGGCGAAGGCUGUCGGCUAGAACGCGCUCGACGGUGAGGGACGAAAGCUGGGGGAGCGAACCGGAU
rnacentral:rRNA from 1 species